UUUCUUUAAUCUACCUAGCUAAUCUAAUCCCUAUUCGGUGAGUGCUCUGUGUCCAGCCCGCUCGGGUGUGCAAGUAAAACUUAUUCCUUUGUAAACAGCGAUUCCACGAGUCGUCUCGCGCGGGCGGUCCAUGUCGUCUGACACCAUAAGCAACGCUGUCUUCUUGUCUCUUCCCUACGCCUUCUUCCCACACUCCUGAUUCCCUUUCCUCUUCCCUUCUCUCUGUCCAGCACUCCAGUCCCUCAACGGCCACCGCUACUUCAAGGAAUCCCCCGCAGAUCUGGAUCGAGGCCACCACCGAGUCUCCCUCGAGCGCCUCCUUCUUCCUCCCCCUUCUCAUUUUUCGUCUCUUCAUCCUUUCCAUGCCUCUGAGUUCCUUUUUUUCCCUUGCCCAUGACGAGCAGGGAAGCCUCGCCACUGCCGCCGCCACCACCACCACGGACGUCGUCACACCAUCGCCGCCUCCGAGUUCGCCGGCCACCGGCGCCCGUCCUCCUAUAUGCAGCCGAGCCAAUUGAGGAGCUCAGAACUACCGCCGUCAUGCCCACGUCAAGUUGCUGCGCAUCUCCACCUCCCAGCCUUGCUGAGGCAUGCCAAGAGGCGCUGCCUCGUCUGGACUCCUCUGCUACCUCCCAUUCGUGCCUCUGCUUCAGUCGCCAGCGAGCCGCUGCCUCGUCCGGCCGGCCUCCUCUGGUCCCAGAUUUGGUUUAGGCCACAACGGUGGUUGUUGCUGUCGAUUGUGCUUGCCUGAUUCGGAGUUUCCUUCACUCCAUCUUCCCUCUUGCCGAAUUAAUUGCUUCAUUAUGUUCCCCUCAUACGCUGCUUGAUUUCUGAUGCGGCAAAGUCGCGUGCGUAUAUAAAUUGAUUGAAUGGGAUGCAGAGGAGCGAGGUGGGACUAAAUCUCAACACGGGAGAUUGAGAAGCUUACGGCGGAGGCCGAGGAGGACUCACGGCGGCGCGCAGGGUCACAGCGGCGCCGCGGGUGGAAAGCGAGCGUCUGGAUAAGAUGAAAUAAAGGAUCGCGGGUUGAAUUCUUACAAAUAUAGGGGGGUCUUCGUAAAAACGAAACGUUUUCCCAGGUUGCCACUAAAACAGGGACUGCGGGUUAAUUUCUUGUAAACCAAGGGACUUUUCUGCAAAAUUGCUAGCGACGACGGACGACAGAAACCCAAUUCUCUUUACUAGCAAAAAAAAAGAGCCCGUGCAUUGCAACGGGAGAGAAAACAA